AUGCAGUUGUACCACUUACGGCGGCGCAUAGUUACAAUCCUCCAUUAACCAUCUUCUUCAUUAUCACCACCACCACCACCACCAUCACCAUCAUUAUCUUCAGCACCACCUCCACCACCAGCACCAUUUAAUCAAUGGGUUAUAAAUGGAAUUUAGGUUUUCUUUCCCAAAUACCUUGGAGAGAGCAAAGUAGGGAAAAUUGUUUGAUUUGGAUGUUAAUCGGUAAGAGCGGAAUCACAAAUGAGUUUUUCAUAAGCUGUUACGGGUUUCGGUCGGGUCAAAUGCUUUAAUUAAAUUCCUAUCUCUCCUGAUUUAGAGAUUUGGUGUGGGAAGUCAGUCAUACAUACACAUCAUAAAGCCAGCAGAAUGGUGUGCUGAUUCUGAUGAGAGUCAUGAGUAGUCGCGUGCUACUGAUGUUGCCCAAGGAGAUCAUAUUAUUGGCGGUUUCUCAAAGACACCAAAGGGGCCAACAUAAUUCAAUUGAAUGCAAAUGCCAAACCUGUGCUGGAUCUUUUCAUGAUCCUAGGGAGCUGAGAGCUAAUGCUACCACCAACAGAAGACGGUAACUUGGAAUUUGGAAAUACAAGUCAACAAACUACAAGAGAGCAGCAUUCCUGUUAUCAGAUAAAUUUUGCUCACAUUAAGGGGAACUUUAUUUGGCUGGAUGAUAUUGAAUCCAUGAUUUCUACUUCGGUAUUCAUGGUAAAAAAUCUUCAAUACUCCUACUACUAUGCUCGUGUGUCAAAGAAAAACUUCCUCCUCAACUGCCAACCUCAGAAAAACUACCAAAAGUAGUCAAAGGGUGUCAAUGGUGAUUUAGAGGUUCAUCCGGUGUUCCUUUCCAGUUUCACCAUGAUUACAGUCGUAUACCAAAAAUGACUUUCAAAAUGUAUUGAGACCUGAACAACCUGUUGCUUAACCUGCCAAAGUUGAGUCUUCUGUACAACUUCAAUCCAGUGUUGAGGAGGUGUCGAAACCCCAGCAAACCCAGCCCACGAGUACAUGCUGAAGGAGAACACACCAUUAGGUUCCAACUUGGCUGCAUGAGUGAUGAAGUCACUGGCUCUGCAUCAAUAAAGACAACUUGAAUUAUAUGUGAUCUUCGCUCCAUCCUCCAAUUUCGUUUCAAGAUGGCUAGAGUUUUUGCAGAUUGUUUCAACCAUGAUAAGUUAUCUGAUUGUCAUAAUAUAAUGACUUCCCUCUCGCCAGUAAGUCUUAUUUCUCAUUUUCAUUGAUGUUUGUCUAAAUUUAAGUUGUUUACUUGUUUCUUUUGAAUAUGUUUGCCAGAGUCUUGUUUGACUUACUUCUUUACACCGAGUCUAGCAUUAAUGUAACUUGUUUGAAUUUAGUUGUAAACACAUACCCUAGGAAUUGCUUGAUAAAUUGAAAGACAGAACAUAGUGAUGUUGUAUGCCUUCCCAUUACCUAUAAUUGGAUUAGAAGAUAGCAAUGAAAUGGAGACUUAUGAUGAUUAUCUCAUUGUUAUUGUUUUACUUAUCGGUAUCCUUAUCCUGUUAAU